CGGAAUAGCUCAGUUGGUAGAGCA
rnacentral:tRNA from 1 species